rnacentral:rRNA from 1 species
UACGUAGGUGACUAGCGUUGUCCGGAUUUACUGGGCGUAAAGAGCGCGCAGGCGGUCGUUCAAGUCGAGGGUGAAAGCCCCCGGCUCAACUGGGGAGGGUCAUUCGAUACUGAUCGACUCGAAGGCAGGAGAGGGUGGUGGAAUUCCGGGUGUAGUGGUGAAAUGCGUAGAGAUCCGGAGGAACACCAGUGGCGAAAGCGGCCACCGGGACUGCACCUGACGCUGAAACGCGAAAGCUAGGGGAGCGAACGGG